rnacentral:rRNA from 1 species
CUGGCGGCAGCUUACCAUGCAAGUCGAACGGAUUUUUAUCAUAGCUUGCUAUGAUAAAAAUUAGUGGCAGACGGGUGAGUAAUGCAUAGGAAUCUACCUAGUAGUAUGGGAUAGCCACUAGAAAUGGUGGGUAAUACUGUAUAAUCCCUGCGGGGGAAAGAUUUAUCGCUAUUAGAUGAGCCUAUGUUAGAUUAGCUAGUUGGUAGGGUAAAGGCCUACCAAGGCAGUGAUCUAUAGCUGGUCUGAGAGGAUGAUCAGCCACACUGGAACUGAGAUACGGUCCAGACUCCUACGGGAGGCAGCAGUGGGGAAUAUUGGACAAUGGGCGCAAGCCUGAUCCAGCUAUGCCGCGUGAGUGAGGAAGGCCUUAGGGUUGUAAAACUCUUUCAUUGGGGAAGAUAAUGACGGUACCCACAGAAGAAGUCCCGGCAAACUC